GUGUUCGCUUUGGUAGCACAUAUACUAAAAUUGGAACGAUACAGAGGAGAUUGGUAUGGCCCCUGCGCAAGGAUGAUGUACAAAUUUGUGAAGUGUGACAUAUUUUU
ensembl:snRNA U6 U6 spliceosomal RNA